rnacentral:lncRNA from 1 species
UUUCAAUAGAGGUUUAAAAAAAAUAAAUUCACGUUGUCGUACCAGCACAAGCAUUUAACAAACCAAGCCAUAAAUUAAUAGUUUUUAUUUAAAGAGGGAAUGGAGAAGAAACUUUGUGCUGAUUUAUUUGUAUUUUUUCCAUAUUUCUAUCUUUUUCCUUCAUCAAACAACACCUUUAAAGGUUCAAAUAGUCCUGAAUCAGUACAGUCCAACAAGUGCAAAUCCAAACCUCAAGAUGAAAUACAACACUACUAAUGUAAAUUGCCAUACAUGGUGACUAAACUUAAAAAAAACACAUAAAACAACUACACUGAGGUCUAGGAAUUAGUUGACAAGGAAACAUACAACGACUAUCAUUUCUCUUCCAACUUGAAUACAGAACCUUUAACUUUGCAUUUCACAUGCUGUUCAGGAAUUAGAACAUACCUGGUAAUUGAAUCACAAGAAGAAAGAAGGAGCAAUCAGCAGCAGUAGAUACAACAACAAUACAAAUGCAGCAAUAUAACAACAAUGCAUCAAGUCCAACCCAGGAAUGAAUAAAUGACCACCCCAGGACCAAACCGAAAGACAGAUUGACACACAACAAUACCAAAAAAACCAACCCAACUUAAAAAUGCAACCAGAAACACUUGAAACUUUCAGCAAGCUAGAGUUCAAUUAGAAAAAUAUUUCAACUGGACCCAAAAAUUGCUUAAGUCUUCUGAUGAACUACUGAAACCUCAACUAUAAGAUCUAGAACUAGAAAGGAUAGAUUGAUCAACUAGGAAUUGCAACUAUUCUAAAGCUUCAACGGAAGAGUACUCUCAGUAUCUUUUAGCUCUAACUCUUUUCUCACUUUUAAAUUAUCCUUUCUCAAGAUUCUCUGUGUUUUGCCAACUCUUAAAACUCUAUCUCAACUGAUUUUUGAGCUCUCAAAAUGUUAUUUUCUUCAAGUCAAAAAUCCUCUUUUUCAAGUUCCCCUUUUUCUGUAGUCCUACCCCUGUGUUUAUACCCAAUCCUUGAACCCUUUCCAGCCCUUUUUCUUCUUUACAGUUGUAAAAACGAUCUUUUAUUAUUAUCCCAUACUUCUUACGUUUCAUCUUGUACAUUCCCUUACUAUGUGUAUUCUUUUAACCUUUCUUCAUUAACCUAUACUAUUUUUGAUUUACAGUUUAGUAAAAGCACUCAACAGAUUAUUACUCCCAUUACUGAUCCUAUUUUAUUUCUUACCCACUAACUCAAUGUCUUUAAUUCAAUGACGUCCCCCCUUUCUCUUGCUAAUUCAUUAUUAGUGCACCACUAAACAGUGUUGGCAGGCCCCCAUCUCUUAAUUGCCUAAACUAUCCUCUACACCUCUAUUCUUAAUUAUUCAAUUAAAAAAUUCUGAAAGUUCUGAAUACCUCCAACUGAAACCAUAAAACAGAAACAAUAGGUGACCAAAAACAAAUGGUAUCUAUCUCUGAAUCUAGAAGGUUUACCAUCGAAACGGAAUCAAACAAAAAAACUUUACACACAAAUAAUUCAGAAUUGAAUUAGCAUGAAACAAUCGGGGAAUAAACAUUUUGAGAUUCGGCCUUUGAGACAAUUAAUCGCCAAAUUGACUAUACUAGUCAUUACUCUAAUAAUGGAACCAGAAGUUUAAACAAAAUGUAAACAAAUUUAACGUAACAGACCUAAUAGAACAAUAAAUUAAACAAUCUAAAAUGCUGAGAAACAAAGUUCACAAAACAUAUAUCAAGAACAAAUGAAAGAAAGAAAAAAAAGAUGAAACAGAAUUACCUAAACACUGGCCACACUUUGAAAUUCUUUCUUCAAACUCUUGAUUUUUGACCACAUGGGGUUUUGAUCAUGUGUUUUCAAAUGAAAACACAUAGUUUAGACCAAAUGUGAUCUCAAUCGCCAAUAACUCCCUUGAUUUAGUUUUGGGCCUUAUCUUCAGAUUAAGAUUCGACGGGUUGAUAGCAUAUUCGAGGGAAACCAUCAUGAGUUUUGGGGUCAAUUGGGUAAGCUAGGGUUCAGGGUUGAUUUUCCAUCCAAGAGUUGAAACGAACUGAGAGGAUUCGAGGAACAUGGACUGGAGAUUUGGAAAGAGGAGGUUGAUGGGGUUCUAUGGUGUGAAGAUGGAGUGGAUUGGCUACCGUCUGCCGACGUGGGCGAUUUUCGCCGGAGUUAGGCGGUGAUAGACGAGCUCGUCUCUGAGCCGUUAGAGACGAGGGAGGGUGGGGUUUGGCUUGGGGGAGGGGCUGGAAUGUGUUACACUUAUACACAGGGGUUAGAAUGGAUCCAAGCCGUUUUGAUAAAAAAAUAUCAACGGCAUGGAUCGUUCACUUAAAUGGAAUGACGUCGUUCAACUUACUGAAAG